CUGGUCGACUCAUAACGGGGAGUGAGUGGUUGUUGCUGCCCAGUACGUGUUUGAUGAAAUUCCUAAGUUGAAUGCAAUACAUUUUGCUUGCCCAGUACCUGUUGUUGUAUCCUUGGCUAUCAAGAAUUUUACCAUCACCAGGUUGCUGCAAUUUUCAAGAUUGGUUUUAGCAAGGAAGCCCCGAAAGGUUAAUAUGAAUGUGCUCAUAGCCAACAAUGUUUUCUUCUCAACAAAGAGGUUAAUGCACCAAUCUACAAUUGUCAUGGGCUCGUGUUUUUUGCUUGAUCUCCCUUCCCUUUUUAUAAUAAAAAAAAUCAUUGCCAUGGCCUCUAUGCAUAGUUCUAUUAUUAUAUGUAUGGAAAACAUUCUUACUUCUUUCUCAGGGGAAAGACGGCUAGAGGUUGGGGAAUGGUUCUUGCCAAUAGGGUUGUUGUCUGCAUUGAAUGAUUAUGGUGCGAAUCCAGGUGGGAAUGAAGAGAGUGGUAAUGCCCUUUUAAAAGAAAUGGAAGAUGCUUUUGGGUUUGCUGAAGGGUUAUGAGAUGGUUGCAGGGUGAAUAACCUUUUGAAAAUUGGAAAAGUUAAAUCUGGAAAUAGCAUAAAGGAGAGCAAACAAAGUUAAUUGCGAGAAGAGUGAGCCCAAAAAACAACCCAACAUGAAGUGGUUAAUCUUCUUAAAGGGCAAGAACGUGAAGUGAUGAAAGCAAAAUAUUUUAGGAUUAGGAUAAAGAUUUUAGUUGCAGAAUUGGCUUAUGAACUUUUAAUGUUAUUUUCUUUUAUACUUGAACAUU